rnacentral:rRNA from 1 species
AGUGAACGCUGGCGGCGUGCUUAACACAUGCAAGUCGAACGAGAACGGGUUAUAGCUUGCUAUAAUUGUCAGCUAAGUGGCGCACGGGUGAGUAAUGUAUAGGUAAUAUGCCUCUUACUAAGGGAUAACAAAUGGAAACGGUUGCUAAUACCUUAUACUCCUUAUUAACAUAAGUCAAUAAGGGAAAGAUUUAUUGGUAAGAGAUUAGCCUGUAUUGUAUCAGUUAGUUGGUGGGGUAAUGGCUUACCAAGACUAUGACACAUAACUGGUUUGAGAGGAUGAUCAGUCACACUGGAACUGAGACACGGUCCAGACUCCUACGGGAGGCAGCAGUGGGGAAUAUUGCACAAUGGACGGAAGUCUGAUGCAGCAACGCCGCGUGGAGGAUGACACAUUUCGGUGCGUAAACUCCUUUUAUAUGAGAAGAUAAUGACGGUAUUAUAUGAAUAAGCACCGGCUAACUCCGUGCCAGCCGCCGCCGUAA